rnacentral:rRNA from 1 species
GACAGAGGUCCCGAGCGUUAGGCGGAAUCACUGGGCUUAAAGCGUGUGUAGGCGGAUGCCUAAGUACCUUGUGAAAUCCCACGGCUCACCCGUGGAACUGCUUGGUAUACUGGGUGUCUUGAGCCACUUAGGGGCUACCGGAACAAAUGGUGGAGCGGUGAAAUGCGUAGAUAUCAUUUGGAACGCCAAUGGUGAAAACAGCUGACUGGGAGUGUGCUGACGCUGAGACACGAAAGCCAGGGGAGCGAACGGG